UGCUGAGUCAGUUAGAGACGCCCUGCCCCACCGCCCGUCAUUCCCGAUUGUAUUUGCUUGAGUUUCUAAUGUUGUCUCCUUGAAUUCUUAAGGAUCAAAUUACUCUAAGAUUUCGGUGAGCAUCAUGGUGUAAAUGUCACACUUUAAGUACGUAGAGGUCAGCCGUGGCCAGCCAUGUGGUCCCUCGAAGACUGUGCUCAUGGAUACGCCAACCGUAAACAAUGACAGUUGGAAAUCAGCCUUGAGGGGCCUGGGAUGCAGCUCAGUUGGUGGAGCAUUUACCUGGUGACCUGGAAGUGUCUAUGAGCUUCGGAACCUUCUGCCUCCACUGUCUAAAUGCUGGGGCUAGAGGAAUACAAUUUAUGCAGUGGGGAAGAUGAACCCAAGGCUUCAUGUGUGCUAGUCAGGACUCGUUCUUGAGAAGAGCAGCUUUGGAAGAGACAGCCAAAAAGUGAUACAGGGCACGAAGAGCGGGAUACGUCUGAUGAGGACAUUGACAGUCAUCCACACACAAGGGAAAGAGGUGCCAGGAUGACAGGUGAGAGCCACUAAGCUCCGCUUACGCCAUGCUGUGGAUGGAGCCUCCAGCUUCAUGCGUGUUAGGAAGCCCUCUACCGACUAAGCUACAUCCCACGCUCAUCAUUCCGUUUUGUUCUUGAACAAAAGUAAACAUUACCUUCCAGUUCUCCCACCUAUGAAGAUCGACGUUCAGUGACACAUGCCUUAGCAAAAAAAAAAAAAAAAAAAAAAAAAAAGAUUGACAGAUGCUGUGGGACCUCAUUGUUUAUUGUGUGUCAUGACCUGCCUAAGAAUACAACACUGGGCUGGACAGACGGUUGGAAGUUGGGGCUAUCCAUCAGGUACUUUUUGGUGGUGGUGUUUUCUUCCUUCCUUCCUUCCUUCCUUCCUUCCUUCUUCAAGACAGGGUUUCUUUAUGUAGCUAGCCCUGGCUGUCCUGAAACUCACUCUGUAGACCAGGCUGGCCUCGAACUCAGAUCCCCACCUGCCUCUGCCUCCGAGUUGGGCUUACAGGUGUGUGCCACCUCGCCAGGCUCAAGAUGCUUGUUUUCUGAAAACUGUUGGAUGAAAGAAGAGAAGCGUUUCCAGAAUGGAUGUGCAGUGGGUUUUCUCCUGUGCUCUCUGGCUGGGUGACUGAGUUUAGGAUGAAUGCAUUUCAUUGGGAACUUAUUUUAGAAUUUCUGGCCACAAACUCUUUAGGGGGAAAAUCUCUAUCUCUGCAGCAAGCCAUAUUAUGCUAUCUUAAAUCUCAGUUGUGAGUUAUUUAAACACACCCGAGGCUGAAUUUGCCCUCUUUACACCAGCAAUUACAUAAGUUAAGACAUAAAUACCCCAAAGAAGGACUUUCUCAGUAUUUUGUGCUUUUUUUUUUCCUGGCUGUGCUUAGUUAUGCUUAACAAACCGACCAACCAACCAACUAACUAGCUAGCUAGCUAGCUAACAAAUAAAAGCUCCCCUGUCCCUAGAGGCAUUGCAGGUGUGGCUACUGUGUCGCAUGUGUGUCAGUAGGUGGUAGAGAGGGAAAGGCCAUGUCUACACUCAGUGUCCUGACCUGGGAACAUCUGAAUGAGCAGUAGCCUAACACUCCCUAAAAAAAGAGAGCCUGAGAUGACCACCACUCCAGCACCAGGCCUAGAUGGGUUCC